UGAAUAAUUAGAUAACUACUAUGUAGUGGACCCCAGGUAAUUUUUUUUUUUCAUAGGUUCGCCACUUGUUUGAGUGGUUGGCGAACUGGCCCAGAAGUCCAUGCGUGCUGUGGAAAGCACAACGACCUCAUGACGUGGUAAGAACAAUUACCACCACACCUUCUUCAAGAUGCUUAGGAACUGGUCCUUCGGAUACUACGUUCAAGACCUCACUGAGAAUCUAUUUUUUAAUGUCUCCAGAUUAAAAAGGAUGCGGCUGCGUGUUUUGAUUAUUUUUUGCUGUUGCAAAGGUGCAAACCGCAGCUCGUGUCCCUGGCGCAAGCAGGGAAUGAGAUCGCCCGGGAGAGUCUGAAGCAUGAAAGUUGUUUUUCUUGAGGGUUUCUUGUGUGAGAUUGGGGUUUCAUGUCUGUAUGUGCGUGUUCGUGUGGACAUCAAAAUUUUUGGUGGUGUUUUGCAGACCUAAGUAGCUUGGAUCCGUCUGUGAUGGAAGCUGUCUUAACAAACUACUUGCUGUAAGUUUACAUUCUAUGGCUUUGGUGCAGUUCUAAUGGAUUUCAACAUCUCACUGUGAUGUUGCAACGGAUGCUUCAUUUUCAAAGAUCAAGGCCAUUGCAAAGGGAGUAAACCCAGAAGAAAAUGGAAAGAAAUAUGCUCCCAUGUACUCGAUGAAUGAUGUUAGUGGUGCACUACUGCAGUUUGCUGUUCAACAACUCAAUGAUUUUGUACCUUUUUAUUUGAUAUGCAGAUGCAGGUGCCUCUGAUUGCUGGAAGCAAGUUAUCCCUCUCAAUUGCAGGGGCUAAUGUUGAACCAGAGCCAACUACUGACCGAUUCGUCGAUAUCAUGGUAAAUGAUAAACACUUUUCUUUUAUUUUUUUUACAAAUUUGAUUGAUGAAAUAUUUGCACUUUGUUCGAAGUUUGAUGAUUGUCAAAAUCUUGAUGAUUAGUCUACAGCGUCUGAACAGCUAGAAAAGAGCAUGUGAGUGUUGGGGAUAAAAUGGUACUAUACCUCCUGUUGUAAUUGCUCACUUCCAUAGCCUUCGGGGAGUUCAAAGUUUAUACUGCAAGUCUGCAACAACAAUGAUGAUUCUUUUUGUCA